GAUGAACGCUGGCGGCGUGCCUAACACAUGCAAGUCGAACGUGAGAGGGUAGCAAUAUUCUUGAAAGUGGCGCACGGGUGAGUAAUACGUAGGUGACCUGCCUUGAAGUGGGGGAUAACAGCUGGAAACGGCUGCUAAUACCGCAUAUGGCCAAGACACGGGGAAGUGACUUGGUGAAAACUCUGGUGCUUCAAGAGGGGCCUGCGGCCGAUUAGCUAGUUGGCGGGGUAAGAGCCCACCAAGGCGACGAUCGGUAGCUGGUCUGAGAGGACGAUCAGCCACACGGGAACUGAGACACGGUCCCGACUCCUACGGGGGGCAGCAGUGAGGAAUAUUGGGCAAUGGGCGCAAGCCUGACCCAGCAACGCCGCGUGGAGGAAGACGGCCUUCGGGUUGUAAACUCCUUUUACGGGGGAAGAGGAAGGACGGUACCCCGCGAAUAAGUCACGGCUAACUACGUGCCAGCCGCCGCGGUAAUAC
rnacentral:rRNA from 1 species